rnacentral:lncRNA from 1 species
CUCUGCCCUCAAACCACUAUCGCCGUGAGGAUGACGAUGACAAUGACGAUGCUGAUGACAAUGAUGGCCUGUGUGCAACACUCUGCUGGCCUUCCCAGAGGCUCUACCAGGAAUCCCCCACAGCCUGGGACUUCUGCUCCUGGAAACAGUUAAGGCUUUGGCAAGAGGCUCUCCCACAAGGCAAUUCGAUCUCCCCUGUCUGUCUGUGAGGGUUCGGGGCACUGCUGUGGCACGCCAGACGCAGCAGCUACUUUCUGUGAACAGCCUCCUCAUAAAUGUCAGUCCUGUUGGGGGGUGGGGAGGGGGCCUUGAUUUAUUAUAUAGCUUUUGGACAGUUCCUACAGAAAUAUUGCCAAACAGUGGAAUAAUCAACUCUUUCACUCAAGCCCCCUCAGACUUUUUUUAAUGAAAGAAUAAAGUACGCAAUGAGCCUGAGCUAAAUAAAUAAAAAUGCCACACUUUUGCCCAACA